rnacentral:rRNA from 1 species
AGUGAACGCUGGCGGUAGGCCUAACACAUGCAAGACGAACGGCAGCACAGUAAGAGCUUGCUCUUACGGGUGGCGAGUGGCGGACGGGUGAGGAAUACAUCGGAAUCUACUUUUUCGUGGGGGAUAACGUAGGGAAACUUACGCUAAUACCGCAUACGACCUACGGGUGAAAGCAGGGGAUCUUCGGACCUUGCGCGAUUGAAUGAGCCGAUGUCGGAUUAGCUAGUUGGCGGGGUAAAGGCCCACCAAGGCGACGAUCCGUAGCUGGUCUGAGAGGAUGAUCCGACACACUGGAACUGAGAAACGGUCCAGACUCCUACGGGAGGCAGCAGUGGGGAAUAUUGGACAAGGGGGGAAAGCCUGAUCCAGCCAUACCGCGUGGGUGAAGAAGGCCUUCGGGUUGUAAAGCCCUUUUGUUGGGAAAGAAAAGCAGCAGGUUAAUACCCCGCUGUUCUGACGGUACCCAAAGAAUAAGCACCGGCUAACUUCGUG